rnacentral:tRNA from 1 species
AGCCCCUUAGCUCAGUGGUUAGAGCAGGCGACUCAUAAUCGCUUGGCCGUUGGUUCAAAACCAACAGGGGCUACCA